UACAGAGGUCUCAAGCGUUGUUCGGAUUCAUUGGGCGUAAAGGGUGCGUAGGUGGCGCACUAAGUCAGGUGUGAAAUUUCGGAGCUUAACUCCGAAACUGCAUUUGAUACUGGCGUGCUUGAGGACUGGAGAGGAGACUGGAAUUCAUGGUGUAGCAGUGAAAUGCGUAGAGAUCAUGAGGAAGACCAGUGGCGAAGGCGGGUCUCUGGACAGUUCCUGACACUGAGGCACGAAGGCCAGGGGAGCAAACGGG
rnacentral:rRNA from 1 species